rnacentral:rRNA from 1 species
AUUGAACGCUGGCGGCAGGCCUAACACAUGCAAGUCGAGCGGAUGAAGGGAGCUUGCUCCUGGAUUCAGCGGCGGACGGGUGAGUAAUGCCUAGGAAUCUGCCUGGUAGUGGGGGGUAACGUCCGGAAACGGGCGCUAAUACCGCAUACGUCCUGAGGGAGAAAGUGUGGGAUCUUCGGACCUCACGCUAUCAGAUGAGCCUAGGUCGGAUUAGCUAGUUGGUGGGGUAAAGGCCUACCAAGGCGACGAUCCGUAACUGGUCUGAGAGGAUGAUCAGUCACACUGGAACUGAGACACGGUCCAGACUCCUACGGGAGGCAGCAGUGGGGAAUAUUGGACAAUGGGCGAAAGCCUGAUCCAGCCAUGCCGCGUGUGUGAAGAAGGUCUUCGGAUUGUAAAGCACUUUAAGUUGGGAGGAAGGGCAGUAAGUUAAUACCUUGCUGUUUUGACGUUACCAACAGAAUAAGCACCGGCUAACUUCGUG